rnacentral:rRNA from 1 species
GACGAACGCUGACGGUGUGCUUUAGACAUGCAAGUCGAACGAGAAAGCCCUUCGGGUUAGUAAAGUGGCGAACGGGUGAGUAACACGUGGGCAAUCUGCCCCUCGCAGGGGGACGAACCGGAGGAAACCCCGGCUAAUACCCCGUAAGUUCAAAGGGAGGCAUCUCCCCUUGAAGAAAGGUAGCUUCGGCCAUCCGGCGAGGGAUGAGCCCGCGGUGCAUUAGCUAGUUGGUGGGGUAACGGCCCACCAAGGCGACGAUGCAUAGCUGGUCUGAGAGGAUGAUCAGCCACACUGGGACUGAGACACGGCCCAGACUCCUACGGGAGGCAGCAGUCGGGAAUCUUGCGCAAUGGGCGAAAGCCUGACGCAGCAACACCGUGUGUGUGAGGAAGG